GUUAGAGGCAUUACUGCAGGUUAAAUAAAUUAUAAAAUGCAUUAUCUUCGUUUAUUGUGGGUUGUGCACAACGAGAACGCCUGGGAGAGGCGUCAAAACCGAUUAAAUGCGGCGACGGCUAUUGGAAACAAUUGGAGAAAUGCCUGAAUUGUUUUUCAACUAACAUUUCAGACUUAAUAAAAGAGCAUUUAGGAAAUUAUGCAAGGAGCUAGAAGCUCAUGUACGAUUAAAAGGUUCUACUGAGAUUCCCCUGGAACUAAAGGUGCUGUGUGCUCUUAGCUUUUUAGCUACUCGCUUGCCGCUAUCUCGAAGGGGGUCGCUCAAACGAGGGCCGGGAGAAACAGCAGACUGCGGUGUCGCUGGCGAUCUCAACCGCGGACCACGCCUGGUGGAUGGAGAAAUAUUAUUUAUAUUAAAUAUUUAUGUAUAAGAAUUUUUAUAAAUACUAAUUCAUCAUUUAUAUAAUAGGUAAUAUUUAUAAAUAAUAAUUCAUAACCAGAUUAACCAAGUUAAAAACUAAUUUAUCAAAAAAAUUAAUGGUGUCUUUCAUGUAAGUGAAGUUACUUGGUUGACUAAUGUUAAUAAGAAUACUUUAUAAAACA